rnacentral:rRNA from 1 species
GACCAGACUCCUACGGGAGGCAGCAGUGGGGAAUAUUGGGCAAUGGGGGAAACCCUGACCCAGCGACGCCGCGUGAGGGAAGAAGGUUUUCGGAUUGUAAACCUCUGUCCUUGGUGACGAUAAUGACGGUAGCCAAGGAGGAAGCCACGGCUAACUACGUGCCAGCAGCCGCGGUAAUACGUAGGAGGCGAGCGUUAUCCGGAUUCACUGGGUGUAAAGGGAGCGUAGACGGCCAUGCAAGCCAGGGGUGAAAGCCCGGGGCCCAACCCCGGGACUGCCCUUGGAACUGUGCGGCUAGAGUGCGGGAGGGGCAGGCGGAAUUCCUGGUGUAGCGGUGAAAUGCGUAGAUAUCAGGAGGAACACCGGCGGCGAAGGCGGCCUGCUGGACCGCGACUGACGUUGAGGCUCGAAAGCGUGGGGAGCGAACAGGAUUAGAUACCCGAGUAA